AAUGCACCAAUUUGUGUCGCUCUGGAUAAGAGCGUCUGCUAAAUGACGUAAA
rfam:Salmo salar isolate Sally breed double haploid chromosome ssa15, whole genome shotgun sequence.